AACACGCUCCCUUAGAUCCACCUCUGGGGGAACGGCCCCUCUGCCGUGAGCCGCGGUCGUCUCCCAGGCAACCGCUGGGCUCCGGCGGAGGGUCUCCCGGCAACCUCCCGGUUGUACGGUCAGAGGUGCUUGAGUCAUUGGCGUGUGAGAGUAGUCUACCUGCAGGCCAGCCUCAGUGCUGCCCUGGCCUCUGACGAGACAUGCCCAGUGCAGCCCGGCUGGCCUCCGGACACG